rnacentral:miRNA from 14 species
ACCGUAAUCCCGUUCACAACA